AUGGCCCUACGGGACGCAGCAGUGAGGAAUAUUGGUCAAUGGGCGGGAGCCUGAACCAGCCAAGUCGCGUGAGGGAAGACGGUCCUAUGGAUUGUAAACCUCUUUAGGCGGGGAGCAAUGCCGGGCACGCGUGCCCGGAGGGAGAGUACCCGCAGAAUAAGCAUCGGCUAACUCCGUGCCAGCAGCCGCGGGAAUACGGAGGAUGCGAGCGUUAUCCGGAUUUAUUGGGUUUAAAGGGGGCGUAGGCGGAUUUUUAAGUCAGCGGUAAAAUGUCCGGGCUCAACCCGGGACGGCCGGUGAAACUG
rnacentral:rRNA from 1 species